AUGUCCCAUCCCUCCGGUCUCACGCCACCGCUAGCUGAAUCCCCCUCGGGAUCUCCGCUGCCCGAUCCACCCAAUCAACCUCCACCUCUCCUCCCGAGCCACCCCUCCCGUCCAUCACCGUCGGAGCAGCAGCUCCCAUGCCUGCGCCUCGACAGCCCCGUCGUCGGCCAAUCCAACCAGCAGAUGAGUGCCCCGAGAGCCUUGCUCCCUUUUCCCUCCUGCUUCUGUUUCUCUCUCUCUCACGCUGCUCUCGCUCUCUCUGUUGUCUUCGCAGCGCCUCCAUGGACAGCCUCCUCGGUUGACUUCGUGUGCCGCCCCGUUGGACCUCCAGCUUCAGUCCCUCGUCGCCCACGCCCUCGCCUUGCUCCGCCCUUGCCGUCGUCCCGCAGGCGAGCAGCUCCAGUAGGAACACCAGGAGGCCAUGGGCGCUACCCCUUCCGAGCUCGACGACCUCUACCCUGUAGACCUCCCCGCCGUUUCCAGCGUUGCCUACUCCUGCUGGCGACCAGCAGGCAACAGUUGCAGCCAUGGCCUUGUAGCUCGUUCCCCCCCAGCUCGGAGAUCCGAUCCGCACCUCCCCUAGCCGGAUCUGGAACCAGGCGCCUCCCCGCGCCCAUCCCGUUGUUCCCCGCCGCCGUCCGCCACCUGCAGUCCCCAUCUCGUCGAUCCUGGGAUCAAGCAGCACCGCCUCGCCCUGCUUACUGUCCCGCCCGCGCCAAGGACAGAGCCCAGCCUCUCCUUCCCCUGCUUCGUGCGCAGUUCGGGAUCGAGCGACGACCGCCUCGCCCCUUCGUUGACCGCGCCUGCAGCGCCUGGGCCAGCAGCCUCCAAGGCCCAGCGCCCCUGCCUGGCCUUCUCCCCACCGAGCCGGCCCAUGAGGCCUGCUUCGGUUUCGUUCCGGAGUUGUGA
rnacentral:rRNA from 1 species